AUUGAACGCUGGCGGCAUGCCUUACACAUGCAAGUCGAACGGCAGCACGGGGCAACCUGGUGGCGAGUGGCGAACGGGUGAGUAAUGCAUCGGAACGUACCUUUCAGUGGGGGAUAACGUAGCGAGAGUUACGCUAAUACCGCAUAUUCUGUGAGCAGGAAAGCAGGGGAUCGCAAGACCUUGCGCUGAUUGAGCGGCCGAUGUCAGAUUAGCUAGUUGGUGAGGUAAAGGCUCACCAAGGCGACGAUCUGUAGCGGGUCUGAGAGGAUGAUCCGCCACGCUGGAACUGAGACACGGUCCAGACUCCUACGGGAGGCAGCAGUGGGGAAUUGUGGACAAUAGCGGCAACCCUGAUCCAGCCAUGCCGCGUGAGUGAAGAAGGCCUUCGGGUUGUAAAGCUCUUUCGGCCGGGAAGAAAUCGCACGGGCUAAUACCCUGUGUGGAUGACGGUACCGGAAUAAGAAGCACCGGCUAACUACGUGCCAGCCGCCGCGGUAACAC
rnacentral:rRNA from 1 species